rnacentral:rRNA from 1 species
AACCCCGUUAAAUAGCUCCCCUGAGUUUUGUUCCUGGCUUCUCCUGGCCCCGCCUUUGAGUUUGGAUUCUGCUCAGGAUGAACGCUGGCGGCGUGCUUAACACAUGCAAGUCGAACGAUGAAGCCCAGCUUGCUGGGUGGAUUAGUGGCGAACGGGUGAGUAACACGUGAGUAACCUGCCCUUAACUCUGGGAUAAGCCUGGGAAACUGGGUCUAAUACCGGAUAGGAGCGUCCACCGCAUGGUGGGUGUUGGAAAGAUUUAUCGGUUUUGGAUGGACUCGCGGCCUAUCAGCUUGUUGGUGAGGUAAUGGCUCACCAAGGCGACGACGGGUAGCCGGCCUGAGAGGGUGACCGGCCACACUGGGACUGAGACACGGCCCAGACUCCUACGGGAGGCAGCAGUGGGGAAUAUUGCACAAUGGGCGCAAGCCUGAUGCAGCGACGCCGCGUGAGGGAUGACGGCCUUCGGGUUGUAAACCUCUUUCAGUAGGGAAGAAGCGAAAGUGACGGUACCUGCAGAAGAAGCACCGGCUAACUACGUGCCAGCAGCCGCGGUAAUACGUAGGGUGCGAGCGUUAUCCGGAAUUAUUGGGCGUAAAGAGCUCGUAGGCCGGUUUGUCGCGUCUGUCGUGAAAGUCCGGGGCUUAACCCCGGAUCUGCGGUGGGUACGGGCAGACUAGAGUGCAGUAGGGGAGACUGGAAUUCCUGGUGUAGCGGUGGAAUGCGCAGAUAUCAGGAGGAACACCGAUGGCGAAGGCAGGUCUCUGGGCUGUAACUGACGCUGAGGAGCGAAAGCAUGGGGAGCGAACAGGAUUAGAUACCCUGGUAGUCCAUGCCGUAAACGUUGGGCACUAGGUGUGGGGACCAUUCCACGGUUUCCGCGCCGCAGCUAACGCAUUAAGUGCCCCGCCUGGGGAGUACGGCCGCAAGGCUAAAACUCAAAGGAAUUGACGGGGGCCCGCACAAGCGGCGGAGCAUGCGGAUUAAUUCGAUGCAACGCGAAGAACCUUACCAAGGCUUGACAUGUUCUCGAUCGCCGUAGAGAUACGGUUUCCCCUUUGGGGCGGGUUCACAGGUGGUGCAUGGUUGUCGUCAGCUCGUGUCGUGAGAUGUUGGGUUAAGUCCCGCAACGAGCGCAACCCUCGUUCCAUGUUGCCAGCACGUCGUGGUGGGGACUCAUGGGAGACUGCCGGGGUCAACUCGGAAGGAAGGUGAGGACGACGUCAAAUCAUCAUGCCCCUUAUGUCUUGGGCUUCACGCAUGCUACAAUGGCCCGGGACAAU